rnacentral:rRNA from 1 species
CCGAAUGGGGCAACCCGGCAUGCUGAAGGCAUGUCACCUAGUCAAUAGGGGUAAACCCGGUGAACUGAACCAUCUAAGUAACCGGAGGAAGAGAAACCAAAAGUGAUUCCGUUAGUAGUGGCGAGCGAACGCGGAUUAGCCCAAACCAGUGUUGUUACGCCAAUUCUGGGGUUGUAGGCCCCCGAUAUUCGAAGUUAAGUGAAUUAGAAUCUGUCUUGGAAAGUACAGACCAUAGAGGGUGAUAGUCCCGUAUAAGUAAGCGAAGAUUAGAUAGUGGUAUCCUGAGUAGUGCGGGACACGAGUAAUCCUUGUAUGAAUCCACCGGGACCAUCCGGUAAGGCUAA